UUGAGAACCAAGGUAUCAAUCCAGUAGGAGAAUCGAGGUCAAGUCCAGAGUACCUGCACAAACACAAAAGAGCUUGCACCCAACGCUAUAAAGGGGUUGUCAAUCCCUUCAAGAUUGAUUGCAAAGUGAGAUCUGAAGUCGAAAGUGGAACGAAGUAAAAGUGUAAGGCUGAAAAUAUGGUGUGAAGUAGACCCGGGGGCCAUAGUGUUCACUAGAGGCUUCUCUCAAAAUAGAAAAUAAUACGGUAGGUGAACAAAUUACUGUCGAGCAAUUGAUAGAACCGCGCAAAGUCAUGACGAUAUCUAAGGCAAUGAUCAUACAUAUAAGCAUCACGCCCGAGACAAGUAGACCGAUACUUUAUGCAUCUACUACUAUUACUCCACACAUCGACCGCUAUCCUGCAUGCAUCUAGUGUAUUGAGUUCAUGACGAACAGACUAACGCCUUAAGCAAGAUGACAUGAUGUAGAGGGAUAAACUCAAACCAAUGAUGGAAACCACAUAUUUUUACUCUUGAUGGCAACAACACGAUGUGUGCCUCGCUGCCCCUUCUGUCACUGGGAGAGGUUAGCGCACGGUAUGAACCCAGAACCAAGCACUUCUCCCAUUGCAAGAAUCAUAGAUCUAGUUGGCCAAACAAAACCCACAACUCGAAGAGAAUUACAAGGAUAUGAAAUCAUGCAUAUAAGAGAUCAAAAGAAACUCAAAUAAGAUUCAUAGAUAAUCUGAUCAUAAAUCCACAAUUCAUCGGAUCUCGACAAACACACCGCAAAGAAGAUUACAUUGGAUAGAUCUCCAUGAAGAUCAUGGAGAACUUUGUAUUGAAGAUCCAAGAGAGAGAAGAAGCCAUCUAGCUACUAGCUAUGGACCCGAAGGUCUAUGGUGAACUACUCACGCAUCAUCGGAGAGGUCAUGGUGUUGAUGAAGAAGCCCUCCGCAUCUGAAUCCCCCUCCGGCAGGGCACCAGAACGUGCCUGAGAUGGGAUCUUGCGGAGACAGAAGCUUGCGGCGGCGGAAAAGUAUUUUCGUGGAUCUCUCUCGCAGUUUUGGAAUUUUUCUGAAUUUAUAGGCGGAAGAGGUAGGGCAGACGAGCCAAAGGGGGGCCACAAGCCUGCUAGGCGCGGCCCCCUGGUCGCGCCUAGGGGGCUUGUGGGGUCCCCUGGUGGCCACUUCCUUGGUUCUCAAGUCUCGUGCGUAUCUUCUGUUCCGGAAAAAAUCUUUUUGGAAGUUUUAUUCCGUUUGGACACCGUAUAAAAUCCUCCUAUGAAAAGGGUCAAAAACACUGAAAAACAGGAACUCGCACUUGGCACCGAGUUAAUAAGUUAGUCCCAAAAAAUAUAUAAAAGGCAUACAAAACAUCCAAAGUUUGACAAGAUAAUAGCAUGGAACCAUCAAAAAUUAUAGAUACGUUGGAGACGUAUCAACUUACACUUAGUCACAUUGCUUGCAAGGCUUGUGUGUGAUGUUGUAUUACCGAGUGGGCCCCGAGAUACCUCUCCGUCACACGGAGUGACAAAUCCCAGUCUUGAUCCAUACUAACUCAACAGACACCUUCGGAGAUACCUGUAGAACACCUUUAUAGUCACCCAGUUACGUUGUGACGUUUGAUGCACACAAGGUAUUCCUCCGGUGCCAGUGAGUUAUAUGAUCUCAUGGUCAUAGGAACAAAUACUUGACACGUAGAAAACAAUAGCAAUAAAACGACACGAUCAAUAUGCUACAUUCAUAGUUUGGGUCUUGUCCAUCACAUGAUGCUCCUAGUGAUGUGAUCCCGUUAUCAAGUGACAGCACUUGCCUAUGGCGAGGAAACCUUGACCCUCUUUGAUCAACGAACUAGUCAACUAGAGGCUCACUAGGGACAGUGUGUUGUCUAUGUAUCCACACAUGUAUUUGAGUUUCCAGUCAAUACAAUCUAGCAUGGAUAAUAAACGAUUAUUAUGAACAAGGAAAUGUAAUAAUAACUAAUUUAUUAUUGCCUCUAGGGCAUAUUUCCAACAAUGCAUGAGUUGUCAUUUGAUCCGAAUGUUGUGAUGAACAAGACCCAAGUGUAAGCUUAACAUAUGGCUGCAUCACGUAGUUUAUUGCUACAACUUUCUUCAUGUCAAGUAUCUUUUCCUUAGACCAUAAGAUCUUGCAACUCCCCGACAUCGUAGGAGUUCUUAAUGUGUAUGCAAAUAUCACUUCGCAACUGGGUGAUCAUAAAGGUGCUCUACAGGUAUCUCUGAAGGUGUUUGUUGGGUUGCACGGGUCGAUACUAGGUUUUGUCACUCUGUGUGAUGGAGAGAUGUCUCUAGGUCUAUAUAUAGUGGGGGUGAGGGAGGGCAGCCGCACCCCUUCCCAUGGUCCAACCCUCCCUAUCCCGCGCCUCUCAUUUAUUCCUUGUUCGUCGUCCCAACAGUGCUCGGCAAAGCCCUGUCGGCAUGACAUCACCACCAUCGCCGCCACGUCGUCGUGCUGGACAUGAUCCCAUUUACUUCUCCACCCUCACUUGCAAGAUCAAGGAGGAGGAGACAUCAUCGAGCUGCGCAUCUGCUGGAUGCGGAGGUAUCAUUCGUUCGGCGCCGGAUCAGAUUGGAUCGUGAAGAGUACGACUACAUCAACCGCGUGAUAUAUGCUUUCGCUUAACGGUCUACAUGGGUACGUAGACACAUUCUCCCCUCUCAUUGCUAUGCAUAUCCUAUAUUAUAUCUUGGGUGUUUGAUAGGAUUAUUUUAUUUUCAUGCUAUGUUUCCAACAGUGGCAUCAUGAGCUAGGUCUAUGCAUAUAUUUUAUGCACGAGUGGAACACAAAGAAGUUGUGGACGUUGAUGUUCAGAUUUCUUACCUCUAUUUAUCUUAUUUGGAUUCAGCGGUAUUGUGGGAUGAAGUGGCCCGAACUAACAUUACUUGUUCUCGUACAAGAGACCGGUUCCACUAACAGAUAUGCAACUUGUAUUGCAUAAAAGUGGUCGGUGGGUGUAUGUUUCUCCUACUUUAGUUGAAUUUGAUUUGACAAUAGAGGUCCUUGUCGAAGGUUAAAAAGGCAACUUGAUUAUUCCGGUUGUGGUUUUGUGUAGGGAAGAAUGGUUCUUCCUAGUUGCCUAACAAGCCAAGUAAAAUUUGCAACGACAAAGUAGAUGACGUCUAACUUGUUUCUGCAGGGCAUGUGGUGAUGUGAUAUGGCCAAGACGCGAUUUGAUAUAUGUUGAUGUAUGCGAUGAUCAUGUUUUGUAAUAGUUUUCACGACUUGCAUGUGGAUGAGUACAAUAACCGGCAAGAGCCACAGGGUUGUCUUUAAUUUAUUACAUGACAUGCGUGUCAAUCAUUAAAAUGCCAUGUAAUUGCUUUACUUUAUUGCUAUGCAUUAGCAAUAGUUGUAGAAGCAAUAGUUGGUGGAGUCAACCACAUUAUGACAUGCAAGUAACGAUGUAGAUCAUGCCGGUGCUUUGGAGAUGGAGAUCAAAAUCACAAGACGAUGAUGGCCAUAUCAUGUCACAUAUAUUGAUUUCAUGGGAUGUUCAUCGUUUAUGCAUCUUAUUUUGUUUAGGACGAUGCUAGCAUUAUAAGAUGACCCCUUCACUUAAUUUCAAGAUAAAAUAUGUGUUCUCCAUAAGUAUGCUUUGUUGUGCAUGUUCGUCGUUUUGAAGCACCUCGUGAUGAUGAUGUGCCAUAGAAUCUUCGUUCACAUACAACGGGUGUAGGCCAAUUUUACACAUGCAAAAUACUUGGGUUAAAAUUGCCGAGCCUAGCAUGUACAAACAUGACCUCAGAACACGGAGGACCGAAAGGUCAAACAUGAGUCAUAUAGAAGAUAUGAUCAACUGGACAUGUUCACCAGUGAAACCACUUCAUCUCACAUGAUGAUCAGACUUGGGAUGGUGAAUUUGGAUCAUGUAUCACUUAGACAACCUGAGGGAUGUGGAUUUAAGUGUGCGUUCAUUAGUAAUUUGAUUAACUGAACUUAUUAUCAUGAACAUAGUCUAAAAUGUUUUUGCAAAUUAUGUUCUAGAUCCAUGGCUCGCGCUAUAGCUCCCCUGAAUUUGGAUCAUUUUAGAAAGCGGAGUUGAAAGAUGAUGGAAGCAAUUAUGCAGAUUGGGUUCGUAAUCUAAGGAUUAUCCUCACUGUUGAACAAAAGGCUUAUGUCCUUGAUGCAUCGCUCGAUGCGCCACCCCCUCCAGUCUCUUGUGUGAAAGUCUUGCACACGUGUUCUGAUAACUACUCUAUAGUUCAGUGCACCAUACUUUACGCCCUAAAACCGGGGCUCCAAAUAAGUUUUGAGCACCACGGAGCAUAUGAGAUGUUCCAAGAGAUGAAAUUGGUAUUUCAGCCUCAUGUUUGGGUUGAGAGGUACGUAUACUCCGAGAAGUUCUUCGGUUGUAAGAUGGAGGAGAACAUUUCCGUUAGUGAUCAUGUGCUGGGAGUGUAUGGGUACUACAAUCUCUUGUAUGAGUUGGGAGUUAAUAUUCCGGAUGAAGUAGUGAUUGACGGAGUUCUCCAGUCACUGCGAGCAAGCUACAAGAGCUUCGUGAUGAACUAUAAUAUGCAAGGGAUGGAAAAUACAAUCCUAGAGCUAUUCGCGAUGCUUAAGGCCGCGCAUGUAGAAAUCAAGAAGGAGCACCAAGUUUUGAUGGUUAAUAGGACCACUAGUUUCAAGAAGGGCAAGUAUAAGAAAGGAAACUUCAAAAAGAAUUGCAAGCCUAUUGCCGCACCCAUGUAGAAACCCAAGGUUGUACCCAAACCUGAGACCGAGUGCUUCUAUUGCAAGGGAAUGGUCACUGGAAAUGGAACUCCCCAAGUACUUGGCAGAUAACACUAGUAGAAAACAGGGCUUCGGUCGAGGGCUGAAAUCCCAUUAGUCCCGGUUCACUCACAAACCGGGACCCAUGGGGGCAUCGGUCCCUGUUCGUGAGGCCAGGGCGCCGGACGGGCAUCGUGGGCCAUUGGUCCCGGUUCGUGUCACCCCUUUGGUACCGGUUCCAUACACGAACUGGGACCAAUAGGCCGACAACCGCUCGUAUCCCCCUUUAGUCUCGGUUGGUGGUUCAAACCGGGACUAAAUGGUGGUGGCAACCGUUCGUCUCACCCCUUUAGUCCCAGUUGGUGGCUCAACACAGGACUAAAGGUCCAAACGGUUCUCCAGUGAAGAAAAGCACAACCGAAGCAGAGUCUCUCGCCAUUCUCUAUUCUUCUCCUCUCUUGCUCUCCUCUCUUCUUCCUCUCUUCUUCCCCUCUCUUCUUCCCUUCUCUUCUUCCACCAUGCCAACAACUCGCUUCGGAGAGGUGCUCGCACAUGGCACGCCCAAGCUCGAUGUCGUGUACACGAAUGACAGCAGGGAGGUGCCGCAUUUUCUUCGACAGUUGCAGGGAUGACUUGACGCCGAGGAGGAGCAUGAGCAUUUCUUGGGGCUUGAUCUGGAGUACACGACCAAUCAACAAGGUGUUUCCGUCAUCCAAUUAUGUUUCAAACUCCAUGUCUUGAUAUUCCAAUGGGUGAGGUAUGUUUUGAGGCUUUUCUUUGAUCCAAGGUUAUGAAAAUUGCGAUCUUUCUAGGUUCCAUUGGAUAGCAAUAUGCAGUUUCUAUAUAUGUUCCAUUGGAUAGUUAAUUGAGGGUUUCUUGAUCAAUUCAUAGGAUAUGAAAAUUGCAUAGGAUAGCAAUAUGUUCCAUUCGAAUCCUAGAAAGAUCAAUUUCUCUUUAGUUGCAGUGAAACAAUUUUCCGCGUUGUUCUUUGAUCCAAGAUUAUGAAAAUUGCAUAUGGUGAUCUCUCUAGGCUCCAUUGGAUAGCAAUAUGCAGUUUCUAUAUAUGUUCCGUUGGAUAGUAAAUUGAGGGUUUCUUGCAUAGGGUAGCAAUAUGUUCCAUUGAAAUCCUAUAAAGAUCAAUUUCUCUUUAGUUGUAGUGAAACAAUUUUCCUUGUUGCAUAUUUGCAAAACCGUGGGAGAAUAUAUAUAUAUAUAUAUAUACCAGUGGUAGUUACCACCAGUUGUGUUUUGUAUGUUGUAUGUAGUAUCUAUCAAAUCGGAGAGUAUCUACGCAUAGUAUGUAGUAUAUAAGAAUGUUUAGGGAGUAUAUGUACUACUUUUUUUGGUAGUAUGUCUCAUAUUUUGAGUAUGCUUCUUUUCACAUAUAAAUAUAUACAUAUUUUGAAAAUGUAAUAAAAAUCAUGGUCCAGUUUGCAAUUCUUUCACGUGACUCAUUUGGAAGUAUCUUAUAUAUGGUAUAUCACCAUACUUAAAAAUGAUAAAUUAAUAUAUAUAGUAUCACGUGAAGGUAUAUGAGACAUGUGGGAUAACUACCCCUAGGUGGUAAGAUGUAUUUUCUCUCUCUCUCUCUCUNNNNNNNNNNNNNNNNNNNNNNNNNNNNNNNNNNNNNNNNNNNNNNNNNNNNNNNNNNNNNNNNNNNNNNNNNNNNNNNNNNNNNNNNNNNNNNNNNNNNGUACGUACGUAGUAUGUAKUUUCUUCUCUCUCUCUCUCUCUCUCUCUCUCUCUAUAUAUAUAUAUAUAUAUAUAUAUAUAUAUAUAUAUAUAUAUAUAUAUAUAUAUAUAUAUCGUAUGUAUGUCAUAGUUAAUUUACGGUAUCUUGAUCAAUUCAUAGGAUAUGAAAAUUGCAUAGGAUAGCAAUAUGUUCCAUUUGAAUCCUAAAGAUAAAUUUAUGUUGUAGUGAAUCAUUUUUCCUUGUUGCAGCAGUAUGUAAUAUUUGUUCCAUUUUAAUUUGUUGUUGUUGCAGUAGUGACAAGCAUUGUACAGAACUCAUGGACUUCCUUUGCAGCGGUAUAAGUUUUGCUAGCGUUGACAUAAGGAACAACAAGCUGAAGAUGUGCCACAUCUUCGGUAUUGAGAUACCGGCUGACUGCCACAUUGAUGUCCAAGAAAAAUUCAAGCUUUAACAUGAGAGGACUUCAAUGGCUCAUAUGGCAGUCGCCUUGAUCGACGAGGAGUACGUUGAUAUGAAGAGCAAAUUCCCAAAGCAUCAACACAAACUGUGGGAGAGGACUCCACUUGACCCUAUCAACAUUUAGUAUGCGACAAAAGAUGCAUACAUUUCAUACGAGUUGUACCACAAGAUUCGAAUCAUGAAGCAUGGCCAGCAUCACCUCACACCAGCUUGGGGACAUUCUGAUUCGGACGAGUAGUGUUCACAACAGCAAACACUUGUAUAUAUAUAUAUAUAUANNNNNNNNNNNNNNNNNNNNNNNNNNNNNNNNNNNNNNNNNNNNNNNNNNNNNNNNNNNNNNNNNNNNNNNNNNNNNNNNNNNNNNNNNNNNNNNNNNNNAUGAUAAUAACCAUUUUAUUAUUGCCUCUAGGGCAUAUUUCCAACACACAUCACAUGUCUAACCCUGCAAAAACAAGUUAGACGUCCUUUAAUUGUUGUUGCAAGUUUUACGUGGCUGAUUUGGGUUUCUAGCAAGAACGCCUUCUUACCUACGUGACAGCCACAGCGAUGAUAUGCCAAAGCUAUUUACCCUUCGUAAGGACCCUUUUCAUCAAAUCUAAUCCGACUAGAGUGGGAGAGACAAACACCCGCUAGCCACCUCUAUGCACGGUGUGCAUGUGUGUCGGUGGAACCAGUCGCACGUAAGCGUACGUGUAAGGUGGUCCGGGCCGCUUCAUCCCACAAUACAGCCGGAAAAGAAUAAGACUAGUAGCGACAAGCAAUUGACAAAUCAUCGCCCACAACCUUUUGUGUUCUACUCGUGCAUAGAAUCUACGCAUAGAAAACCUGGCUCUGAUACCACUGUUGGGUAACGUAGCAUAAAUUCAAAAAAAAUUCUACGCAUAUUCAGAUCUUCCUAUGGAGAGACCAGCAACGAGAGAGGGGUGAGUGCAUCUUCAUACCUUUGAAGAUUGCUAAGCGGAAGCGUUGCUAGAACGCGGUUGAUGGAGUCGUACUCGCGGCGAUUCAGAUCGCGGUGUGAUUCCGAUCUAGUGCCGAACCACGGCACCUCCACGUUCAACACACGUACAGCCCGGUGAUGUCUCCCGCACCUUGAUCCAGCAAGGAGGAGGGAGAGGUUGGGGAAGAUCUCUCGCAGCACGACGGCGUGGUGUCGAUGGAGAGACGAGGUCUCCCGGCAGGGCUUCGCCAAGCACCGGCACACAGGAGGAGAAAGAAGAGCAGGGCUGCGCCGAGGGAGAGGGAAAACUGUGUCUCCAAAAGCCCAAAAGUGCCCACUAUAUAUAGGAGGAGGGGCGGGGGGGGUGCCACCCCUAGGGUUCCCACCCUAGGUGGUGCGGCAGCCCCCCCCCCCAGAUGGGAGGUGCGGCGGCCAGGGCAAGGGGGAGGGGUGACGCACCCCUAGGUGGGCCUUAGGCCCACCAGCGCCUAGGGUUUCCCCCCCUCUCCACCUCCUGCGCCUUGAGGUGAGUGUGGGGGACGCACAAGCCCACCUAGGGGCUGUUUCCCUCCCGCACUUAGCCCAUCUAGCCUCCCGGGGUCGUUGCCCCCUUCCGGUGGACCCCCGGGGCCACCUUCGGUGGUCCCGGUGGUCCCGGUGACGCCCGAAACACUUCCGGUGUCCGAAACCAUCCGUCCUAUAUAUCAAUCUUUACCUCCGGACCAUUCCGGAGCUCCUCGUGAUGUCCGGGAUCUCAUCCGGGACUCUGAACAACUUUCGAUAACCUCGUAUAACAAUUCCCUAUAACCCUAGCGUCAUCGAACCUUAAGUGUGUAGACCCUACGGGUUCGGGAGACAGGCAGACAUGACCGAGACACCUCUCCGGCCAAUAACCAUCAGUGGGGUAUGGAUACCCAUGGUGGUUCCCACUUGCUCCACGAUGAUCUCAUCGGAUGAACCACGAUGUCAAGGAUUCAAUCAAUCUCUUAUACAAUUCCCUUUGUUUGUCGGUAUAGAACUUGCUCGAGAUUCGAUCGUCGGUAUACCUAUACCUUGUUCAAUCUCGUUACUGGUAAGUCUCUUUACUCGUUCCGUAGCACGUCAUCGUGUGACUAACUCCUUAGUCACAUUGAGCUCAUGAUGAUGUUCUACCGAGUGGGCCCAUAGAUACCUCUCCGUCACACGGAGUGACAAAUCCCGAUCUCGACUCGUACCAACCCAACAGACACUUUCAGAGGUACCCGUAGUGCACCUUUAUAGUCACCCAGUUACGUUGUGAUGUUUGAUACACCCAAAGUACUCCUACGGUAUCCGGGAGUUGCACAAUCUCACGGUCGAAGGAAAAGAUACUUGACAUUAGAAAAGCUUUAGCAUACGAACAAUACGAUCUAGUGCUAUGCUUAGGAUUAGGUCUUGUCCAUCACAUCAUUCUCCUAAUGAUGUGAUCCCGUUAUCAAUGACAUCUAAUGCCCAUGAUCAGGAAACCAUGAUCAUCUAUUGACUAACGAGCUAGCCAACUAGAGGCUUGCUAGGGACACAUUGUGAUCUAUUUAUUCACACAUGUAUCACUGUUUCCUGUUAAUACAAUUAUAGCAUGGAAGACACUUGACAUUAGAAAAGCUUUAGCUACGCUUAGGAUUGGGUCUUGUCCAUCACAUCAUUCUCCCAAUGAUGUGAUCCCGUUAUCAAUGACAUCUAAUGCCCAUGAUCAGGAAACCAUGAUCAUCUAUUGACUAACGAGCUAGCCAACUAGAGGCUUGCUAGGGACACAUUGUGAUCUAUUUAUUCACACAUGUAUCACUGUUUCCUGUUAAUACAAUUAUAGGAUGAACAAUAGAAUAUUUAUUCACACAUGUAUUACUGUUUCCUGUUAAUACAAUUAUAGCAUGAACAAUAGACAAUUAUCAUGAACAAGGUGAGGACGAUUCAUGGGACGGUUCGCGGGGCGGGUCGAGGGACGUGAGGACGUUCCACCACAUCAACCGCAUUUCUUAAGGCUUCCUGCUGUGCGAUCUACAAGGAUACGUAGAUCCAAUCUCCCUCUCGGAGAUGAUCAUCACCAUGAUAGUCUUCGUGCGCGUAGGAAUUUUUUUGUUUCCCAUGCGACGUUCCCCAACAGUGGCAUCAUGAGCUAGGUUCAUGNNNNNNNNNNNNNNNNNNNNNNNNNNNNNNNNNNNNNNNNNNNNNNNNNNNNNNNNNNNNNNNNNNNNNNNNNNNNNNNNNNNNNNNNNNNNNNNNNNNNUUGUUUUAUGCGUAUUUGAGUUAUAUGGUUGGUUACCGAAUGUUGUUUGGAGUCCCGGAUGAGAUCACGGACGUCACGAGGGUUUACGAAAUGGUCCGGAAACGAAGAUUGAUAUAUAGGAUGACCUCAUUUGGUUACCGGAAGGUUUUCGUGCAUUACCGGAAAAGUUUCGGGCUCAUCGGUAGUGUACUAGGAGUGCCGGGAGGGGUGCCGGGGACCAUCAGGAGGGGUGUCACGCCCCAAGGGGUCUCAUGGGCUAUGGGAAGAUAUAAACCAGCCCCUAGUGGGCUGGAAUAAGUUCCCACUAAGGCCAAGGUUUGAGAAGGAAAAAACACAAGGUGGAAAGAGUUUCCAAGUGGGAAGGUGGAAUCCUACUCCAAGUAGGAUUGGAGUAGGACUCCUCCACCUCCAAUUUCGGCCAAACCUUUAGGUUUUGAGGCUGCCUCCUCCCCUCCCUCCCUCCUAUAUAUAGUGGGGUUUUAGGGCUGAUUUGAGACAACUUUUGCCACGGCAGCCCGACCACAUACCUCCACGGUUUUUCCUCUAGAUCGCGUUUCUGCGGAGCUCGGGCGGAGCCCUGCUGAGAUUAGAUCACCACCAACCUCCGGAGCGCCGUCACGCUGCUGGAGAACUCAUCUACCUCUCCGUCUCUCUUGCUGGAUCAAGAAGGCCGAGAUCAUCGUCGAGUUGUACGUGUGCUGAACGCGGAGGUGCCGUCCGUUCGGCACUAGAUCGGAGCGGAUCGUGGGACGGUUCGUGGGACGGUUCGCGGGGCGGAUCGAGGGACGUGAGGACGUUCCACUACAUCAACCGCGUUUCUUAACGCUUCUGCUGUGUGAUCUACAAGGGUACGUAGAUCGGAAAUCCCCUCUCGUAGAUGGACAUCACCAUGAUAGGUCUUCGUGCGCGUAGGAAAAUUUUUGUUUCCCAUGCGACGUUCCCCAACAAUAAUUUCACCCACAUAGCAUGUACUAAAAAGUUGAGAGGGUUGCCGCAAAAACUGGAUGCACUUCGUGUACAAAUCGUACAAUCUCUUUCGAAGUAUGAGGGUUUCAUACGAAAACUCAUCUGUUACAAAAGGCAUUUCAUUUUUUUGAACUUAUGUGAACUCCAGACUUUUGUGUGUUCAAAAUGAACCAUUCAAGGCCACAUUAUUAAUUUUCAACACUUUCUGACUGCAUUUGGUAUUUUUCAUGCUUUUACUGAUUUUUUGGAGCUAAAUGACCCAGAAAAUGAAAAGCACUACAAAUGAACUCUUAAUAGGUUGAAAGUUGGCAUGGUAUCAUCAUUUCACCCACAUAGCAUGUGCUCAAAAGUUGAGAGGGUUGCCGUAAAAACUGGAUGCAGUCGUGUACAAAUCGGACAAUCUCUUUCGAAGUAUGAGGGUUUCAUACGAAAACUCAUUUGUUACAAAAGGCAUUUCAUUUUUUCGAACUUAUUUGAACUCCAGACUUUUUGUGUGUUCAAAAUGAACCAUUCAAGGCCACAUCAUCAAUUUUCAACACUUUUCGAGUUCAUUUGGUAUUUUUAAUGCUUUUACUGAUUUUUUGGAGCUAAAUGACCCAGAAAUUGUAAAGCACUACAAAUGAACUCUUAAUAGGUUGAAAGUUGGCUUGGUAUCAUCAUUUCACCCACAUAGCAUAUGCUAAAAAUUUGAGAGGGUUGCCGCAAAAACUAGAUGCACUUCGUGUGCAAAUCGGACAAUCUCUUUCGAAGUAUGAGGGUUUCAUACGAAAACUUAUUUGUUACAAAAGGCAUUUCAUUUUUUCGAACUUAUUUGAACUCCAGACUUUUUGUGUGUUCAAAAUGAACCAUUCAAGGCCACAUCAUCAAUUUUCAACACUUUGUGACUUCAUUUGGUAUUUUUCAUGCUUUUACUGAUUUUUUGGAGCUAAAUGACCCAGAAAAUGAAAAGCACUACAAAUGAACUCUUAAUAGGUUGAAAGUUGGCAUGGUAUCAUCAUUUCACCCACAUAGCAUGUGCUCAAAAGUUGAGAGGGUUGCCGUAAAAACUGGAUGCAGUCGUGUACAAAUCGGACAAUCUCUUUCGAAGUAUGAGGGUUUCAUACGAAAACUCAUCUCUUACAAAAGGCAUUUCAUUUUUUCGAACUUAUUUGAACUCCAGACUUUUUGUGUGUUCAAAAUGAACCAUUCAAGGCCACAUCUUGAAUUUUUAACACUUUCUGACUUCAGUUGGUAUAUUUCAUGCUUUUACUGAUUUUUCGGAGCUAAAUGACCCAGAAAUUGAAAAGCACUACAAAUGAACUCUUAAUAGGUUGAAAGUUGGCAUGGUAUUAUAAUUUCACCCACAUAGCAUGUGCUAAAAAGUUGAGACGGUUGCCACAAAAACUGGAUGCACUUUGUGUACAAAUCGGACAAUCUCUUUCGAAGUAUGAGGGUUUCAUACGAAAACUCAUNNNNNNNNNNNNNNNNNNNNNNNNNNNNNNNNNNNNNNNNNNNNNNNNNNNNNNNNNNNNNNNNNNNNNNNNNNNNNNNNNNNNNNNNNNNNNNNNNNNNUAUAGCAUGGAUAAUAAACGAUUAUCAUGAACAAAGAAAUAUAAUAAUAACUAAUUAUUAUUGCCUCUAGGGCAUAUUUCCAACUAUUAUGAUACCAUGCCAACUUUCAACCUAUUAAGAGUUCAUUUGUAGUGCUUUUCAUUUUCUGGGUCAUUUAGCUCCAAAAAAUCAGUAAAAGCAUGAAAAAUACCAAAUGCAGUCAGAAAGUGUUGAAAAUUAAUAAUGUGGCCUUGAAUGGUUCAUUUUGAACACACAAAAGUCUGGAGUUCACAUAAGUUCAAAAAAAUGAAAUGCCUUUUGUAACAGAUGAGUUUUCGUAUGAAACCCUCAUACUUCGAAAGAGAUUGUACGAUUUGUACACGAAGUGCAUCCAGUUUUUGCGGCAACCCUCUCAACUUUUUAGCACAUGAUAUGGGGGUGAAAUAAUGAUACAAUGCCAACUUUAAACCUAUUAAGAGUUCAUUUGUAGUGCUUUUCAUUUUCUGGGUCAUUUAGCUCCAAAAAAUCAGUAAAAGCAUGAAAAAUACCAAAUGAACUCGAAAAGUGUUGAAAAUUGAUGAUGUGGCCUUGAAUGGUUCAUUUUGAACACACAAAAAGUCUGGAGUUCAAAUAAGUUCGAAAAAAUGAAAUGCCUUUUGUAAGAGAUGAGUUUUCGUAUGAAACCCUCAUACUUCGAAAGAGAUUGUCCGAUUUGUACACAAAGUGCAUCUAACAGAUGAGUUUUCGUAUGAGAUGUUAUGUUUCAUGUGUCGAAUCUUGUGAAUAAUAUAUCUUGUUGGAAUUUCUUGAAUCAUGUCGAAUCAUGUGAAGAAUAGAUCUUGUUGGAAUUUCUUGAAUCAUGUCGAAUCAUGUGAAGAAUAGAUGUUGUUGGCAUUUCUUGAAUCAUGUCGAAUCAUGUGAAGAAUAGAUCUUGUUGGAAUUUCUUGAAUCAUGUCGAAUCAUGUGAAGAAUAGAUCUUGUUGGAAUUUCUUGAAUCAUGUCGAAUCAUGUGGAAUCAUGUAGAAUCAUGUGACGAAUAUAUCUUUUUGGCAUUUCUUGAAUCAUGUCGAAUCAUGUGAAUAGAUCUUGUUGGCAUUUCUUGAAUCAUGUUGAAUCAUGUGAAGAAUAGAUCUUGUUGGAAUUUCUUGAAUCAUGUCGAAUCAUGUGGAAUCAUGUCGAAUCAUGUGAAGAAUAGAUCUUGUUGGCAUUUCUUGAAUCAUAUCGAAUCAUGUGAAGAAUAGAUCUUGUUGGCAUUUAUUGAAUCAUGUCGAAUCAUGUGUAGAAUAGAUCUUGUUGGAAUUUCUUGAAUCAUGUCGAAUCAUGUGAAGAAUAGAUCUUGUUGGAAUUUCUUGAAUCAUGUUGAAUCAUGUGAAGAAUAGAUCUUGUUGGCAUUUCUUGAAUCAUGUCGAAUCAUGCGGACCUUGGUGAAGAACCACCUGUUCUUGCCGGUUUUGAACCUACCCUCGAGCUUGAGGAAGACCUUGACGCGGGACUUCUUGGCUGAGUCCUUGCGGAUCACAUUCUUCGGGUAUUUGGCCAGGCCGGCGACCAGGCAGUGCCCGUAGGGGCGGUCGCGGGUGCCCUCCUCGAACAUAUGCACGAUCACCGCCUUCUUCCCGGGGUACCUGCCCUGCAGCAGGAUCACCGCCUUGCCCGGCUUCAGGAACUUCACCAUUUUCCUUCUCCUCUCCUCGCGUUGCGUCGCCGCCGAUGGGUUCCGGGUUGGGGAGGGGUUGGAGGCUGUGCGCGGGGGAAAUUUGGCGGCGUGGUUGGGGAGGAGAUUAUAUAGGGUUGGCGGCGCUAGGGUUUCGCCGAAGCAUGUGAAGAAUGGAUCUUGUUUUUGGUGGUACUUCACCAAGCACUUCAGACGUGGCAGGCACAGGACAUUCGUGUCGGUUUGUGGCACUAACCGGGACCAAAGACUUCCGUUCAUGUCGGUUGGUGGUACAAACCAAGACCAAAGACACCCUUUAGUGUCGGUUUGCGGCACAGACCGGGACUAAAGGUCUCUUCUUCCCGCCCGUUAGGCUGUUGAAAAUUGACCUUUAGUUUCGGUUUGUUCCUCGAAUCGGGACAAGAGGUUUUCGCAUAUAAGGCGGGAGUUGUCGAAUUUCCCCCAACCUCUCCCAUUUGCCCCGUGCCGCCGCCGCCGAUCCAUUACUCCUCCUCGUCGCCGCCGUCCCUGAGCCCGUCGUCGUCGCCGCCGUCCCCGAGCCCGUCAUCGUCGUCGCCGCCCCCGCCCCGAGCCCGUCAUCGUUGCCGCCCCCGAGCCCAUCGCCGUCGCCGCCCCCGCCCCAAUCCCGUCGUCGUCGCUACCCCGCCCCGAGCCUGUCGUCGUCGCCGCCCCCAAGCCCGUUGCCGUCGCCGCCCCCGCCCCGAGCCUGUCGUCGUCGCCACCCCCGAGCCAGUCGUCGUCGCAGCCCCGAGCCCGACCCAAACCUCUGGUGAGACAUCCCCAUAUCCCCAUGCCUAGGGUUUUUGCUAGGAUAUCAUUCUUGUAUAUUUGCAAAAUAUUUGCUCAAGCCCCAAAUGUUGUUGCGGAAAUAUUUGCAAAAUAUAUAUAUUGUGUUUUAUUAUUGUAUAUUUGGUGUCAUACUUGCAUGUUGAGAAAAAUAGGUAGUGUGCGCUAGCUAAAUUCAAAUAAUAUGAUUAUUGUAUAAAUGAUAACUAGAAAGUAAAACAUUAAACAAUAAGAAAAUUUUCUCACAGGAAUUUGUCUUGACGUCGACGAUGCCCGGCCCGCAUCCUCGUCGUCGAGUGGUCAGCGAGAGCCUGCUUGAUAGGUGCCAACAUGUCCGGGACUGGGCUCCGUCGGGCUGGCACUGGGAGGUGCUACCUUCCGGGGGGCGCACCUUGGUGAGGAAUUCGGGUCUCAUCGUUGACCCAGAGCUUCUUUGGUGGCGGUCGCGUGGGCCAUUAUCGGUACCGAGGGAGCUGGCCCCCACACAGGUGGUACGUCGCCGUGUCAGGGAGGAGGACGAGCACGUCGAUCGCUACAUGGCUGCGUUGGAUGACAGGUUCUCCAAUACCUGGCAGGUUCUCCACGGACAUCACCCGAGCUAUGAUCCGGUGAUGGUUCCUUAUCUUUGGGUUGCCACCGCCUGCACGGUGAGACGUCAACUGGGUUUUUAUCAAUGAUAUUGUAUGAUAAUAUUCGAGAUGUAUUAGUGAUAAUAUCGGUUAUGUUUCGGUUUUUUGUUGCUCCUUGUAUGAGUUUCAUGAGUUGUUAAAUGAGUAAGAUGAUGAUGAGUUAUAUGUCAUUUAUUUGAUGUAUGGAACGGGUUGACUUUAGGUCUCGUGGAGGUCGCUUCUCCUUCUUUUCCUUGUGUGCUAGAUAGAUGAAGAAUCCCGACCGUUGUUGUGGGGUCGCUUCUCCUUNNNNNNNNNNNNNNNNNNNNNNNNNNNNNNNNNNNNNNNNNNNNNNNNNNNNNNNNNNNNNNNNNNNNNNNNNNNNNNNNNNNNNNNNNNNNNNNNNNNNCUUUUCUUUUAUUUUCUUUUGGUAUUUUCUUAUGUGGUGCCAUGGGCCCCUUGGGCUGACUCCACCAACCCACUAAGGACUUGUGGCGCCACCCUAGUGCCUUGGGCUCACUCCCGGGUGGGUGGGCCCCUCCCGGUGAACUCUCGGAACCCAUUCGUCACUCCCGGUACACUACCGGAAUUGCCCAAAACUUUCCGGUGACCAAAUGAAACCAUCUUAUAUAUCAAUCUUCGUUUUCGGACCAUUCCGGAAACCCUUGUGACGUCCGUGAUCUCAUCUGGUACUCCGAACAACAUUCGGUAACCACAUAUAUAACUCAACUAUACUAAAACAUCAUUGAACCUUAAGUGUGCAGACCCUGCGGGUUCGAGAACUAUGUAGACAUGCCCCGAGGCACUCCUCGGUCAAUAUCCAAUGGCGGGACCUGGAUGCCCAUAUUGGAUCCUACAUAUUCUCCAAAGAUCUUAUCGGUUGAACCUCAGUGUCAAGGAUUCAUAUAAUCCUGUAUGUCAUUCCCUUUGUCCUUCGGUAUGUUACUUGCCCGAGAUUCGAUCGUCGGUAUCCGCAUACCUAUUUCAAUCUCGUUACCGGCAAGUUUCUUUACUCGUUUUCGUAAUACAAGAUCCCGUGACUUACACUUAGUCACAUUACUUGCAAGGCUUGUGUGUUAUGUUAUAUUACAGAGUGGGCCCCGAGAUACCUCUCCGUCACACGGAGUGACAAAUCCCAGNNNNNNNNNNUCAACGGACACCUUCGGAGAUACCUGUAGAGCACCUUUAUAGUCACCCAGUUACGUUGCGAUGUUUGAUGCACACAAGGUAUUCCUCCGGUGCCAGUGAGUUAUAUGAUCUCAUGGUCAUAGGAAUAAAUACUUGACACGCAGAAAACAAUUGCAAUAAAACGACACGAUCAAUAUGCUACCUUCAUAGUUUGGGUCUAGUCCAUCACAUGAUUCUCCUAAUGAUGUGAUCCAGUUAUCAAGUGACAACACGUGCAUAUAGUCAGGAAACCUUGACUAUCAUUGAUCAACUGGCUAGCCAACUAGAGGCUUGCUAGGGACAUUGUUUUGUCUAUAUAUCCACACAUGUAUCUGUGUUUUUAUUCAAUACAAUUAUAGCAUGGAUAAUAAAUGAUUAUAUUUAAGCAGGAAAUAUAAUAAUAACUAUUUAUUAUUUCCUCUAGGGCAUAUUUCCAACACUCCUAUGGGCCAACACAGAGUUGGGCCCGCGCAGGAAUCAAACUCUUUGCCGUCUGCCUCGCUACCGAUGCGCCGUCAGCCUCCCGAGGCGUGGACGGCAAAGAGCCCAUAUGGCGAGCUGCUUCUGCCCCAGGUUGCAAAGCUGGGUGCCACAUGGCAACUUUGCCGUUAGCUGCCUGAUGGCAAAGGCCUUUGCCAUCAGCUGGCAGACGACAAAGAGCCCAUAUUGUCGCUUUUUUUAUUUUUUCUAUUUCACAGCACAUAUAUGAUAUAUAUAGGUCACAACACAUAUAUGAUAUACAUAUAAAGUUCAUCAAUGUCAUUUGUUCAUCAAUAUACAUACCAUAUAUCGAAAGAACCAACAUAUACAAAGUUUCGUCCAUAUAUACAUAUACAUAUAGUUCCACAUAUAUUGUUCAUCCAUAUAUACAUAUACAUAUAGUUCCACAUUGUUCAUUAACUCAAAUGAAAAUUAGAACUAAAGCACUCCAAUGCCAGCUUCCAUGCAUGUAGAACAUCCAAUCUGCAAAAUGGGAACAAGAAAUUCAUAAGAAGAAGAACAACAACAUAUAUAUGACAAAUAAGCUAAAUUGAAGAAGAAAGAGAAUAAGCAAGAAGAGAAGAAGGAGAAGCAAAACAAGAAGGAGGAAGAGGAGAAGGAGAAGGAGAAGAAGGAGGAGAAGAAGAAGAGAAGGAGAAGAGAAGGAGAAGGAGAAGAAGGAGGAGGGUCUCCUUCUCUUCUUUUUCUCUUCUUCUUCUUCUUCUUCUUCUUCCUUUUCAUUUCUCCUCUUCUCCUCUUCUUGGAGCUAAAUUAGCUAACUAUGUAUUUUUUGAGCUAAAUGGUCCAAUUAUGUCAUUAUAUAGGAAAACAAGCUAAGCAUAUAAUAUUAAUGAGCUAACCAAAGUUCUUAUGCCAUUUUGAGCUUAUAAUGUCUUUUAGGAGCUUAAUUAGUCAUUUUAAUGAGCUAACCAAGGUUCUUAUGAUGUUUUUAACUAACUAGGCUAAUUAUGUCAUUUUGGAGGAUAAUUAGCUAAGUAUGUAUUUGUUGGGGAAAAUAAGCUAAAUUGAAGAAGAAAGAGAAGAAGCAAGAAGAGAAGAAGGAGAAGAAAAAGGAGGAGGAGGAGAAGAAGAAGAAAAGAAGAGGAGAAUAAGAAGGAGAAGAAGAAGGAGAAUAAGGAGGAAAGAAGAAGAAGGAGAAGGAGGGCUCCUUCUCCUUCUUCUCCUUAUUCUCUUCUUCUUCUCCUCCUCCUCGUUCUCCUUCUCCUUAUCUUAUUUUUCUUCUUCUUCCUUCUUUUCAUUUCUCCUCUUCUCCUCUUCUUGGAGNNNNNNNNNNUAGAAGAAGCAAGAAGAGAAGAAGGAGAAGAAAAAUAAGAAGGAGAAGGAGGAGGAGAAGAAGAAGAAAAGAAGAAGAAAAGAAGAGGAGAAGGAGAAGAAGAAGGAGAAUAAGGAGGAGAGAAGAAGAAGGAUAAGAAGAAGGAGAAGAAGGAGGGCUCCUUCUCCUUCUUCUCCUUCUUCUCCUUCUUCUCUUCUUCUUCUCUUCUUCUUGUCCUCCUCCUUCUUCUUCUUCUCCUUCUCCUUCUCUUCUUUUUCUCUUCUUCUUCUUCUUCCUUCUUUUCAUUUCUCCUCUUCUCCUCUUCUUGGAGNNNNNNNNNNUAUGCCAUUUUGAGCUUAUUAUGUCUUUUAGGAGCUUAAUUAGUCAUUUUAAUGAGCUAACCANNNNNNNNNNCUAAAUUAGCUAAGUAUGUAUUUUUGGAGCUAAAUGGGCUAAUUAUGACAUUUUAGAGGAAAACAAGCUAAGUAUAUAAUAUUAAUGAGCUAACCAAGGUUCUAAUGCCAUUUUGAGUUUAUUAUGUCUUUUAGGAGCUUAAUUAGUCAUUUUAAUGAGCUAACCANNNNNNNNNNNNNNNNNNNNNNNNNNNNNNNNNNNNNNNNNNNNNNNNNNNNNNNNNNNNNNNNNNNNNNNNNNNNNNNNNNNNNNNNNNNNNNNNNNNNCAAAGGGGAAAGGCAAAGGAGAAAGGCAAAUGAAAACGGCAAAUGUGAAGUGGGGGAGAGGAAAACGAGAGGCAACUCGCAAAAAAAGUAAAUGCAAGAGAUGAGUUUGUGAGACCUACUUGGAUAGAUCUCUCCUUCCCCGACAACGGCGCCAGAAAUACAUCUGCUACUGCAACAAAAGACCUUGCAACAGCACCAGAAACAAGCGUGGUGACGGGAGACUAUUCUUGUCUUGAUACUCCUCAGCAACGGCACCAGGAAUCCUUCUGCUACGGAUACGCCUUUAGGGACUUCCUAGGCAAAUAUGCAAAGGAUUCCCUCGUGGCCUUGGAGCCUUGCGUUGGUGUACCCUCAAAGCGGAAAGGGUGAUGUAGCACAGCGGUGGUAAGUAUUUCCCUCAGUUUUGAGAACCNNNNNNNNNNNNNNNNNNNNNNNNNNNNNNNNNNNNNNNNNNNNNNNNNNNNNNNNNNNNNNNNNNNNNNNNNNNNNNNNNNNNNNNNNNNNNNNNNNNNNNNNNNNNNNNNNNNNNNNNNNNNNNNNNNNNNNNNNNNNNNNNNNNNNNNNNNNNNNNNNNNNNNNNNNNNNNNNNNNNNNNNNNNNNNNNNNNNNNNNNNNNNNNNCAAAGCAAAUUAAAAGCGAAAGUGGAAACGAUAGGUGUGAAUAGACCCGGGGGCCGUAGUGUUCACUAGUGGCUUCUCUCAUGAAAGCAAGUAGACGGUGGGUGNNNNNNNNNNNNNNNNNNNNNNNNNNNNNNNNNNNNNNNNNNNNNNNNNNNNNNNNNNNNNNNNNNNNNNNNNNNNNNNNNNNNNNNNNNNNNNNNNNNNCCCCGACCGCCGCCCGCAGCCCCUGUCCCCGCCCCGCCGCCCCGGAUCCUCUCUGCCUCUGCGCGCAACCGCACACCCACACCACGCCGCCUCGCUGGCCGGCUCCCCCUCCCCGCCACAGAGGAUCGGGUAGUAGCACACGGAUCGUACCAACGGCCGGUGUAUAUAUACGGCAGCACCGGCCAGCCAGAGCUUUGCCAUUCACGACCCACGCCUCACACAAUUCCAGCUGCUGAAGCAAGCCGACCGACCGAUCGUACAGUGCAUAGGUUGGCAGUGAUGGGGAGCUAUGGUGGCGACGAUGGCGGAGUGGAGCUGACGGAGCUGACGCUGGCGCCGCCGGGGGAGAGGGCGCGGAGGGCGAGGCGGGCGAGGAAGAGCGUCGAGGCGGCGGCGGCGGCGUUCGUGAAGGUGAGCAUGGACGGGACGCCGUACCUGCGCAAGGUGGACGUGGCGGCGUACGGCGACUACCUCGAGCUCCUCCAGGAGCUCAACGCCAUGUUCUACUGCUGCUCCAUCGGUAAGCAGCCAAAGCUUCAGCAUAUCAAAUGGACAGCCAUGGUAGUAAGAUUUGUGCACUGACGCGCGUGCAUGCGUGUGUAUAUAUAUGCAGGUCUGAUGGACGGGUACGGCCAGUGGGAGCACGCCGUGGUGUACGAGGACGGCGACGGCGACUGGAUGCUCGUCGGCGACGUGCCCUGGGAGUAAGCAAGCACCACCGCAACAACUGCUCGAUCGCGUCCUUGCACUAUGCGGAUGUUCUGAUCUCAGACUCUUGUGUGAAUAUGCAGGAUGUUCGUGUGCUCGUGCAGGCGGAUGAGAGUGAUGCGAGCGUGCGAGGCGAGAGGGCUGAGCGCCAACGCGUGACAUACAAAUUAUCUGCUGCAGGUGAGGAUCCGCCAAAAGGCUCACUGGAUAACAGGAUUACAGGGUCUUCAUUAACAACAGAAUCAAAGAAUUUAUUUUUAAAAAAAAACAGAAUUGCAGAAAUAUGUUUGAUCCUUUUUUAUAAAAAAAUUGAAAGGAAUGUGGUUGAAAUUUGAUCAGAUACUGAACUGAUAUAGCUUAUACUAAUGAAAUGUUCAUCCGGUUUCAGAUCUUCGGUACGUGUAGAUAUGGUCUGAACCUUGCAUGUCGCUCCAGUGGGCGUGACAGCGAUGAGGAACCAAGCAAGGAAGGAAGACGAUGACGAGAUUCUGACGAGGCCAUGCAGAUACGAUCCCGUACCUCAACGCGAAGAUCGACCGGCGUGACAUUAGUUGGGAAUAAAAUGUUGGUUGACUAGGAGAAAAAUAUAUGGUCCAGCGAUAUGAUCCUCCUCUUGCUGCUUCUCACACGAGGCUGACGAACGGGUUGACUUAUCGAGAUCCCAAUAUUCUAGUAAUGCUAGUAGUUCAAAGCCUCGUCGUUCCUUGGGUUCUAUCUACUAGUUAAUUCCGUCGGUUGUUUUGUCACAUGUACAUGAAUCAUGAGUUUGUGUACCUCCCAAAUUUUGCUGAAAAAUGUGCUUAAUUCGCCUCGAUUUUGGAACAUCUAUUUUUCUUCAGACCUCCAACUUGAGGAAUCUUGAAUUGAGCGGGCAACUUUGUUUGUUGGGUUCAUUGUUGUGCAUGGCAUGAAGAAUCAUGUCCGAUAGUACUAGGU
rnacentral:lncRNA from 1 species